rnacentral:rRNA from 1 species
AUACGUAGGUGACAAGCGUUAUCCGGAUUUACUGGGCGUAAAGGGCGUGUAGGCGGUCUUGCAAGUCAGAAGUGAAAUUCCUGAGCUCAACUCGGGCGCUGCUUCUGAAACUGCAGGACUUGAGUGCUGGAGGGGAUAGCGGAAUUCCUAGUGGAGCGGUAAAAUGCGCAGAUAUUAGGAGGAACACCAGUGGCGAAGGCGGCCUGCUGGACGACAACUGACGCUGAGGCGCGAAAGCGUGGGGAGCAAACAGGAUUAGAUACCCUGGUAGUCCACGCUGUAAACGAUGAAUACUAGGUGUGGGGGGACUGACCCCCUCCGUGCCGCAGUUAACACAAUAAGUAUUCCACCUGGGGAGUACGAUCGCAAGAUUGAAACUUAAAUGAAUUGGCGGGG